GGCGUCAUAGCUCAGCUGGGAGAGCAACAGACUGAAGUAACAUCCUUUCGAAAUCUGGAGGUCCCGUGUUCAAUCCACGGUGAUGCCA